GGGGGGGGGGGGGGGGGGGGGGGGGGGGGGGGGGGCGGGGGGGGGGGGGCGGGUUGGGUGGGGGGGGGGGGUGGGGGAGGGGUGGGGGGCGCGUGGGGAUCAUGCGGUUGAGUGUGGGGUGACUUCAGGAAGAGGGGGGGAGGACCGGAUGGGAGCUGCUGCCGGAGGGGGGGGGGGGGAAAGGUUCGGAGGUUGGGUAUGGACUCGCGGCGUAUCAGCUUGUUGGUGGGGUAGUGGCGUACCAAGGCUUGGACGGGUAGCCGGCGUUAGAGGGUGACCGGCAACAUUGGGACUGAGAUACGGCCCAGACUCCUACGGGAGCCAGCAGUGGGUAAUAUUGCACAAGGGGCGGAAGCCUGAUGCAGCAACGCCGCGUGCGGGAUGACGGCCUUCGGGUUGUAAACCGCUUGCGCCUUUGACGAAGCGUGAGUGACGGUAAUGGGUAAAGAAGCACCGGCUAACUACGUG
rnacentral:rRNA from 1 species